rnacentral:rRNA from 1 species
CCUACGGGAGGCAGCAGUAAGGGAUAUUGGUCAAUGGGGGCAACCCUGAACCAGCAACGCCGCGUGAGGGAAGACGGUUUUCGGAUUGUAAACCUCUGUCCUCUGUGAAGAUGAUGACGGUAGCAGAGGAGGAAGCUCCGGCUAACUACGUGCCCGCAGCCGCGGUCAUACGUAGGGAGCGAGCGUUGUCCGGAUUUACUGGGUGUAAAGGGUGCGUAGGCGGCGUGGCAAGUCAGUAGUGAAAUCCAUGGGCUUAACCCAUGAACUGCUAUUGAAACUGUCGAGCUUGAGGGAAGGAGAGGUAGGGGGAAUGUCCGGUGUAGCGGUGAAAUGCGUAGAGAUCGGGAGGAACACCAGUGGCGAAGGCGGCUUACUGGGCUUUAACUGACGCUGAGGCACGAAAGCGUGGGUAGCAAACAGGAUUAGAUACCCGGGUAGUC